AUGUACAAUCAACGUACAAAUGACAAAAUAAUCAAUUAGUUUGUUUUUUUAGAAAAAAUGAAAAGAUAAGCUAGUUAAAUACAAUAAUUUGUUGAAAUAUGAGAGGAGGAAAUAAGAUAGACUAAUUGAGAAACUCAAGUUUUGAUUUAUAGUUGAUGCUAAAAGCCUUGAAGUAUAGGUAGUAGUAGUAGUAGUAGUAGCACUACUACUACUAAUGCUACUACUACUACUAAUAAUACUACUACUACUACUAUUGUUACUUUUAUUGCUAUUACUAUUACUACAACUGCUACAACUGCUACUGCUACUACUGUUAUUAUUACUACUACUAUCACUGCUACUACUACUACUAUUAAUACUGCUACUACUAUUGCUACUACUAUUGCUACUACUGUUAAGACUACUGCCACUACUACUGAAUUAU
rnacentral:lncRNA from 1 species